rnacentral:rRNA from 1 species
UGAAUACGAGACGCUACGGCGUCGAAGCAGUCUAUGUCAUACUUCCAAGAAAAGCUCGCAAUGUCAUAAACAAAUAAUGCCUGUACCAUAACCGACACAGGUGGGUAGGUAGAGUAUACUAAGGGGCGCGAGAUAACUCUCUCUAAGGAACUCGGCAAAAUGACUCCGUAACUUCGGGAGAAGGAGUGCCUUAUUUAUAAGGUUGCAAUAACAAGAUCCAAGCAACUGUUUAUCAAAAACACAGGUCUCCGCUAAGUCGUAAGACGAUGUAUGGGGGCUGACGCCUGCCCAGUGCCAGAAGGUUAAAGAAGUUGGUUAGCAUUCGCGAAGCUGAUAACUGAAGCCCUGGUGAACGGCGGCCGUAACGAUAACGGUCCUAAGGUAGCGAAAUUCCUUGUCGGGUAAGUUCCGACCCGCACGAAAGGCGUAAUGAUUUGGAUACUGUCUCGGAGAGGGGCUCGGUGAAAUAGACUUGUCUGUGAAGAUGCGGACUACCUGCACCUGGACAGAAAGACCCUAUGAAGCUUUACUGUAACUUGAAAUUGAAAUUGGACUUUAUUUGCGCAGCAUAGGUGGGAGGCGUUGAGAGUAUUCUUGCGGGAAUAUUGGAGCCAUCAGUGAGAUACCACUCUUGUAAUGUUAGAUUUCUAACUUUGGAUCAUUAUCUGGUCAAAGAACAGUUUCAGGCGGGCAGUUUGACUGGGGCGGUCGCCUCCCAAAUGGUAACGGAGGCGUACAAAGGUUUCCUCUGAACGGGUAGAAAUCGUAUCUAGAGUGUAAAGGCAUAAGGAAGCUUGACUGUGAGACCUACAAGUCGAGCAGGGACGAAAGUCGGUCUUAGUGAUCUGACGGUGCUGAGUGGAAAGGCCGUCACUCAACGGAUAAAAGUUACUCUAGGAUAACAGGCUGAUCUCCCCCAAGAGUUCACAUCGACGGGGAGGUUUGGCACCUCGAUGUCGGCUCAUUGCAUCCUGGGGCGGUAGUACGUCCCAGGGGUUGGGCUGUUCGCCCAUGAAAGCGGUACGCGAGCUGGGUUCAGAACGUCGUGAGACAGUUCGGUCCAUAUCCGGUGUAGGCGUUAGAAUAUUGAGAGGAGCCUUCUUUAGUACGAGAGGACCGAGAAGGACAUACCUCUGGUGUACCAGUUAUCGUGCCAACGGUAAACGCUGGGUAGCUAUGUAUGGAGAGGAUAACCGCUGAAAGCAUCUAAGUGGGAAGCCCACCUCAAGAUAAGUAUUCUC